rnacentral:rRNA from 1 species
UACGUAGGGGGCUAGCGUUGUCCGGAAUCAUUGGGCGUAAAGCGCGUGUAGGCGGCCCGGUAAGUCCGCUGUGAAAGUCGGGGGCUCAACCCCUCGGAUGCCGGUGGAUACUGUCGGGCUUGAGUACGGAAGAGGCGAGUGGAAUUCCUGGUGUAGCGGUGAAAUGCGCAGAUAUCAGGAAGAACACCAAUUGCGAAGGCAGCUCGCUGGGACGUUACUGACGCUGAGACGCGAAAGCGUGGGGAGCAAACAGG